AAGAGUCUGAGGAAGGAGAACCCCUUUCAGGCCUAAGUGUCUGGAACAGGAGAGAUGGAGGCUAUAGCUCUCCCUAGGUUUGCAAUUUACUCUGAAUGGAGGACAGACUUCUGGAUCUGGGAUGUAAGAGCCACAACUAAGUGAAAGAAUGCCCGCCUGCCCUUUCGCGUGGACCCUCAGUAAAUGCUGGCCCGGUGACGUGAUACACUGUAAUUCAAGGUGCUACCAGAAGAGGGCGUCUGGAAGUCAUCCGCUCCUGGCCCACUCCCUCCAGCUCCCACUUGCCUCUCCUGGGAACCUGUAGUCAGGACCAAGCCAGCCUGGGCAAGAUCCAACUUG
rnacentral:lncRNA from 1 species